rnacentral:rRNA from 1 species
UACGUAGGGGGCAAGCGUUGUCCGGAAUCAUUGGGCGUAAAGCGCGCGUAGGCGGCCCGGUAAGUCCGCUGUAAAAGUCCAGGGCUCAACCCUGGAAAGCCGGUGGAUACUGUCGGGCUAGAGUCCGGAAGAGGCGAGUGGAAUUCCUGGUGUAGCGGUGGAAUGCGGCAGAUAUCAGGAGGAACACCGAUGGCGAAGGCAGCUCGCUGGGACGGUACUGACGCUGAGGCGCGAAAGCGUGGGGAGCGAACAGG